CAGCCGCCGCGGGAAUACGAAGGGUGCAAGCGUUAAUCGGAAUUACUGGGCGUAAAGCGUGCGUAGGCGGUUUGUUAAGUCUGUUGUGAAAUCCCCGGGCUCAACCUGGGAAUGGCAAUGGAUACUGGCAAGCUAGAGUAUGUCAGAGGAUGGUGGAAUUCCCGGUGUAGCGGUGAAAUGCGUAGAGAUCGGGAGGAACAUCAGUGGCGAAGGCGGCCAUCUGGGACAACACUGACGCUGAGGCACGAAAGCGUGGGGAGCAAACAGGAUUAGAUACCCCUGUAGUCCCUGUCUCUUAUAC
rnacentral:rRNA from 1 species